GACGAACGUUGGCGGCGUGCUUAAUACAUGCAAGUCAACUGAAGCAGAGGUAGUAAUAUCUCUGUGGAGGUGGCGCACGGGUGAGUAACACGUAGGUAAUCUGCCUUCAGGUCUGACAUAACCCCGAGAAAUCGGGGCUAAUAGCAGAUGAUGCAGCGGCUUGACAUCAAGACAGUUGUUAAAGCUUCGGCGCCUGAAGAUGAGCCUGCGCUGAUUAGCUAGUUGGCGGAGUAACAGCCCACCAAGGCUACGAUCAGUAGCUGGUCUGAGAGGAUGAUCAGCCACACUGGAACUGAGACACGGUCCAGACUCCUACGGGAGCAGCAGUAAGGAAUA
rnacentral:rRNA from 1 species